rnacentral:tRNA from 1 species
GCCCGCCUAGCUCAAUCGGAUAGAGCGUCAGACUCUUAUUAGGCGGGUUUAUCUCACAGAAGAUAUCUGAAGGCUGCGAGUUCGACCCUCGCGGUGGGCU